rnacentral:rRNA from 2 species
CCUCCUGUGAAGUCCUCGUGUUGCACCCCUGGGUGCGAUCAUACCAGCACUAAUGC